UACGAAGGGUGCAAGCGUUACUCGGAAUUACUGGGCGUAAAGCGUGCGUAGGUGGUUCGUUAAGUCUGAUGUGAAAGCCCUGGGCUCAACCUGGGAAUGGCAUUGGAAACUGGCGACCUAGAGUGCGGUAGAGGGUAGUGGAAUUCCCGGUGUAGCAGUGAAAUGCGUAGAGAUCGGGAGGAACAUCUGUGGCGAAGGCGACUGCCUGGACCAGCACUGGCACUGAGGCACGAAAGCGUGGGGAGCAAACAGG
rnacentral:rRNA from 1 species